GGAUAUAGCUCAGUUGGUAGAGUGCUUGCAUAGCAUGCAUAAGGUCCUGGGUUCAAUCCCAGCACCA
rnacentral:tRNA from 1 species